GUUGAGAAGCGAAUGUCGCAUUUAGUUUCGGCCUAAAUUUUGGCGGAAUUACCGCCCUUAGCUG
rnacentral:tRNA from 1 species